rnacentral:rRNA from 1 species
GAGACUGCCAGUGAUAAACUGGAGGAAGGUGGGGAUGACGUCAAGUCAUCAUGGCCCUUACGACCAGGGCUACACACGUGCUACAAUGGCGCAUACAAAGAGAAGCGACCUCGCGAGAGCAAGCGGAUCUCAUAAAGUGCGUCGUAGUCCGGAUUGGAGUCUGCAACUCGACUCCAUGAAGUCGGAAUCGCUAGUAAUCGUGGAUCAGAAUGCCACGGUGAAUACGUUCCCGGGCCUUGUACACACCGCCCGUCA